AUACUCAUACAGCUUGAUUUAUAAGAUAUCUAUAUCAUCUGAAUCAUAACUUUUUAUACCUAUAUAAUUUGAAUGAUAACUUUUUUAUACAAUGUAAUAGCGAGUGUAUGGUUAAUUCAUCGCUUAAUGCUCAAAUAAACGGAAACUCGCCAAGUGAAUAAUUGCAAAAAUAGACAAGUAUAGCUGGAUAAAGGAAGCAGCAGGAUGUACUAAUGAGAAGUUGGCAACAGUGAAACCAAUUAGCCACAAAGUACAGAAUUUAAACCGGUUGGAUCCAGAAAGACCCAGGAACACCAUAACUGAGCAUGCUCUAAAGGCAAAGUUGAAAAGUUCAAGAUAUGAGGAGGACGGGAGCCUUCAUCGGAGAGGACCCCUGAGGACCCUCAUGAUCAUCUACCCAUGCUCUGAAAGGCGGGUCGGGGGAGGAACUAUGUUAAUCCCUUCUAAAAAAAUGUAUGGAAUGGCAGAACUGGUAGAAGCAGGAUACGAUGUUCGCCAACCAGACAAAGAAAAUGUGACUCUUCUUCAGUGGGCAGCAACAAACAGCAGACAGGAGGAGCUGGUGAAAUAUUACAUUUCCAAAGGUGCGUAGUGGAUCAGCUUGGUGGAGAUUUGAAUUCUGCGCCCCUGCACUGGGCCAUUAGGUAAUGCUGCUUGCAACCACUAGUUGCAAAUCUCUCGGUAUUGACAGCUGUGGUAGCGUUUUCUGAGAUCCGCAGAACAAAGCACUGCUUGGCUGGAGAAAACAUAUGCUGAAAUAAUUCUUCUGGGAAAACUUGUCCGAGUGCAAAUUCUCCCAUUGGAAGAUCAGUGUUUUCUUCUGGAUGGUCAGUCUUUUGCCAGAGUCAGAGACUUGGAUGACUGCUCAGAGGAGAAACUACUGUAGAAUAACCUCUGUAUUCUAAAUGAACACUUUGCCCUAGGCUCAUUCAUUAAGGUAUAUAUUUAAUAUAAUUUGCUGAAAAAGCCAUGAGAAUCUGAGAGAAAACUGGUUUUUGUGUGGUCUCUAUGAGAACUAUAAGGGCAAUGCUUUCAAUAAAAUAUCAGGUUUUUAAAUCAUCUCUAUAGUUUCACUUCACACCUCGUUAUAGACAAGGACACCUUCCCAGGGGACAGCAGCAUCCAAAGGAGCUGUGCAGGGAUGUGCAGAUGCCAAAAGGGACUCUAGGGCAGUUGGACACGCUCCAGCGGGCUCAGCCCCCCGUGCUGGGGCAGGGAAAGAGCAUGAGGGGACCUCCGCUGCAGAGGAAGGAGUGGCAGGGACAGGGGAUGAAGUGAUGGCAGCAAAUGUCAGGAAGGAGGGGACAGAGGGAUAUUGGUGGGGAAAAGGGAGACACAAG
rnacentral:lncRNA from 1 species